rnacentral:lncRNA from 1 species
AUGUCUCGGCUGCGCCCUCCCCACGCCUUCCCCUUGCGGACGCUUCCUGUCGCCAGGCCCCGGCCCACGGCCCCACCCCCAGCCCGGGUCCCCCGUGGCUGGGACGCCUGCCGCCACCCCCACCCUGCCAGGCCCUGCCAUCUGUCUGUGGCCGGGCCUCCUGGGUCACAGGGGUGGGAGGAGGCACACGCGCCCCGACACUCGGCGCCUGAGAGCUGCUUCACCCCCAAGCGUGAACGAGUGGGGCUGUGUGCGGCUGCGGGCCCACGGCUGGGGACACGGGCGGGGGACGGCGUCAGGCAGGCGCUGUGCCGCGUCCCAGGCUCCUGCGGCUGCAGGCUGCCGACCGACUCGGGCUCUGAGGCCCCCCGAGGCCAGCCGGGCCAGCAGGACGCUCCAAAGACGCCCCGGCCACGUCCGUGCCUCUCCCAGAAGAGCCAGAGGCCCUGGGCUCCGGGCGGGGGAGCGGGCACGGCCUCCUGGCGACGGCCAGCAGCGGGGGCAGGGGUUCCCGCACCCCCACGGGCCCUGCCCCACUGUGGCUGUAGCUCCCCCCACCGCCGUCAAAGGAGCCUUGUGGCCGCCCCAGGUAGCGGGUGCCGGUGGUCCUGGAGGGGCUCCAGGAAGGAGCAGUGCAGAAGGGCCCUGAGAAGAAACUGGAAAAGGCAGAGGGAAAGGCCUGAAGGAACAGGCAUUGGCCCCCGCGAGCCCGGCCCACCCCGCCCACCCGCCGAGCCGGGCCCUCCGUGCCCAGGGCUGAGUCAGGGCUGGGGAGCGGCCAGCGCGGCAGGAGGUGCUGCCCAGGGUGCGUGGGGCCCAGGCGGGGUCAGCUCCCUUCACCGCGGCCCGGAGUGGGCGGGCCGGGCUCCCAGGACGCCGCCUUCCUGCCCAUGCGUCAGAGGGUGGGAGCCCGGCCGGGCAGUGGGGGCUCAGACGAGUCUCCGUGAGGGCGGAGGGUCGUGGCCACCGAGCUCGUUGCCCUUCAUCCACCCCGUCCCCACUAAAGCUAGGCGGCCACCAAGUUCUCGGUGA